UUUCCCUCUUUCUUCCUUUUAAACUGCCAUUUCUCUUCUUUCCUUCACGAUCCAUCACCCCUGCACACUCAAACUCCGUCUCGCUCUCUAGAAUCAUUCCGAUUCCAUUAUGACCCACUCUGUCAAAUCAACCACCCUCGUUGUCAAGCCAUGGUGGAAGGAUCAUCAUCACGAGCCAAGGGUAAGGCCGUUUGCUUCAUCACGCCCUCCGGUUCGGCGAUCAAAUUCCGGCAGCCCUCCUUUUUCGACGCAGUAGCAAAGGGGAUGCUGCACCAUGAUGAUGGGCUUCAUCUACCCAGCCUAUAUGCCACCUCAACCAGUGCCAGGGAUGCCUACAUAGUCAUACGCCCCGAUCAAAUCAAGGCGGGGCUGUGAUGGCCCCUCCAUGAGUCCAUCAUAGAAAUCGUAAAGUACUAGGGGAUUGCCCCUACUCAGCUGACCCCUCAUGCCCUUAGAGUUUGAUUCACUUUCUACAUAUACUGCCACCGUAGGGGGUACAAGUAUUCGCUUGUUGCAUUCAGGUGAUACUUCAAACUAUCCCAUGUAGGCGCGACAAUGCAACGUAUUUCUUCAAAGCGCGUCCGAAAGUAAAGGGCAAUCCCAUCAUUAAUGACGAGAAAGUCGGACUCUGAUUGUAAGAGAAGUUUUUUCUUUAUUUGGCGAGGGGAUUGGCCCAGGAGGAGAGGGACAGUCAGUGAUGAUCCAUCAACUCUUCCUCCUACCGAGGUCGCGAGUCGGGAAAGUCGCUUCCAGAUGGGUUCUACCCAUUGACCAUGUCAACAUGUCAACCCACGCAGUCUCGACGCGACAAAGCUUAUUCCUAAGAGUUGCGAUCCUAUUGAUAUGCACUAACCUUUUUUCGCUUUUUAAUUACACAGCAACUCGACAACUAUGGACUUGGAUACUUACUGGUUGAUUCGGACGAUGAUGAUGAUCAGGCCAAGGUCGUGUUCGCUUCGGACAAAGGGAUUCUCAUGCAGGAGCCGCGAAACAGGAAGAGGCACCCAGGGACGACUCAGAGGAAGUUGACGAUGAGAUCAUGGAAGAGGCCAGCGUCUCCCCAGUUCCUGAGGAGCCCAGCUUCUAGGGACCUUGAAAAUCGCUACUCAGUUGUUGUGGUUCACCAUUCUUCCUGAUGACAUUAUCGACGAGAUCGACAACACAGAUCGCGAGAAAGUGCUGCGCAUUCUUACUGUUGACGCUAAAUGCCGGUGCUAUGCUAAAUUUCAGAUAAUUUAACAAUAUGGCAUAGACGGGCUGUUUAUCCAGGGUUUGCGAGACGAUGUGAAAACCUUGAGCGACAGGGUCAAGUAGCUGGAAAAGGAGGUGGAAGAGAUGGAAGGAGAGAAAAAGGCGAUGAAACAAUCACUAGAAGCGGCUGAUAAGCUAGUGGUCAAGACCCGAGGCCAUCUGGUCCCGAUAGAGAAGAAGGAACUCGACGAAACUCUGUUCGUCGAGAAAUAGAAAAUUGACAAGUAGAUUGGCUACCAAGCUUUGGUCGAGGUUAAGCAUGACCACCUGAAGAAACCGGUGGAAUAGUUGGAGAAGGCCUUGAGCAACAGGAGAAAGAUCCUCUUGACGUCUUCAAGGAGGCCGAGGAGCAGAAAGCGAGAGAGAUAGAAGCUUGAGACGUAAGCAUAAGAGGGAAUUGCGCUAGACUGCUGUCCAGUCCCGGUAUCAGAGCUUUUGUGCUCUAAAAGAGGGACUUCUAAAGAAACAUGGGAAUAACUAUGUCUGGUGGUGUUGGGUGGCAUGGUUUUUAGGCCUCCGCCACCUGCUUAGGAUGCAAUUAGAUUGAAAUCGUCACUACAUCGUUUUAUUU